CAGCAGUAGGGAUCUUCCGCAAUGGGCGAAAGCCUGACGGAGCAACGCCGCGUGAGUGAUGAAGGUCUUCGGAUCGUAAAACUCUGUUAUUAGGGAAGAACAAAUGUGUAAGUAACUAUGCACGUCUUGACGGUACCUAAUCAGAAAGCCACGGCUAACUACGUGCCAGCAGCCGCGGUAAUACGUAGGUGGCAAGCGUUAUCCGGAAUUAUUGGGCGUAAAGCGCGCGUAGGCGGUUUUUUAAGUCUGAUGUGAAAGCCCACGGCUCAACCGUGGAGGGUCAUUGGAAACUGGAAAACUUGAGUGCAGAAGAGGAAAGUGGAAUUCCAUGUGUAGCGGUGAAAUGCGCAGAGAUAUGGAGGAACACCAGUGGCGAAGGCGACUUUCUGGUCUGUAACUGACGCUGAUGUGCGAAAGCGUGGGGAUCAAACAGGAUUAGAUACCCUGGUAGUCCACGCCGUAAACGAUGAGUGCUAAGUGUUAGGGGGUUUCCGCCCCUUAGUGCUGCAGCUAACGCAUUAAGCACUCCGCCUGGGGAGUACGACCGCAAGGUUGAAACUCAAAGGAAUUGACGGGGCCCC
rnacentral:rRNA from 1 species